rnacentral:lncRNA from 1 species
CUGGUGCCUAGGGCGGGGCAGAGCCAGGCGCAUCGGACACGGGCCGAGGGAAUUCGAGCUUCGCAGAUUCUGCAGCAGCGUCUCCUAAAAUGUAGCAAACUGGGCCUUAGCAUCACCGGGAAUUUGCACCGAUUCCAGCAAUUGACGAACCACCCAUCCACCAAUAUAGCGUGGAGCUGGGUUUGCUUGUUUGGCAGCAAUUG